UACGGAGGGUGCAAGCGUUAUCCGGAUUUACUGGGUUUAAAGGGCGCGUAGGUGGGUUGGUAAGUCAGUGGUGAAAUACUUUCGCUUAACGAAGGAACUGCCAUUGAUACUACCAGUCUUGAAUACAGUGGAGGUAGGCGGAAUGCGUCAUGUAGCGGUGAAAUGCGUAGAUAUUGGGAAGAACACCUGAGGCGAAGGCGGCAUCCUGGACCAAUAUUGACGCUGAGGAGCGAAAGCUAGGGGAGCAAACGGG
rnacentral:rRNA from 1 species